ensembl:miRNA MIR20B microRNA 20b
UCCUGGCAGGGCCAAAGUGCUCAUAGUGCAGGUAGUUGUGGAGCCAAAUUCUACUGUAAUGUGGGCACUUCCAGUCCUGCUGGAU